rnacentral:rRNA from 1 species
GACGAACGCUGGCGGCAUGCCUAAUACAUGCAAGUCGAGCGAACAGAUGAAGUGCUUGCGCUUCUGACGUUAGCGGCGAACGGGUGAGUAACACGUAAGGAAUCUACCUAUAAGCGGGGGAUAACAUUCGGAAACGGGUGCUAAUACCGCAUAAUAUAAUCUUCCGCCUGGAAGAAGAUUGAAAGACGGCUCUGCUGUCACUUAUAGCUGACCUCGCGGUGCAUUAGUUAGUUGGUGGGGUAACGGCAUACCAAGACGAUGAUGCAUAGCCGACCUGAGGGGGUGAUCCGCCACAUUGGGACAGAGACACGGCCCAAACUCCUACGGGAGGCAGCAGUAGGGAAUCUUCCGCAAUGGGCGAAAGCCUGACGGAGCAAUGCCGCGUGAGUGAAGAAGGCCUUCGGGUCGUAAAACUCUGUUAUAAGAGAAGAACAAAUUGUAGAGUAACUGCUACAGUCUUGACGGUAUCUUAUCAGAAAGCCACGGCUAACUACGUGCCAGCCGCCGCCGUAA